rnacentral:rRNA from 1 species
CUGAACCUACGGGGCGCAGCAGUGAGGAAUAUUGGUCAAUGGACGGAAGUCUGAACCAGCCAUGCCGCGUGCAGGAAGACGGCUCUAUGAGUUGUAAACUGCUUUUGUACAAGGGUAAACCUGAAUACGUGUAUUCAGCUGAAAGUACUGUACGAAUAAGGAUCGGCUAACUCCGUGCCAGCAGCCGCGGUAAUACGGAGGAUGCGAGCGUUAUCCGGAUUUAUUGGGUUUAAAGGGUGCGCAGGCGGUCUGUUAAGUCAGCGGUCAAAGCCCGGGGCUCAACCCCGGCCCGCCGUUGAAACUGG